CGCCGUCGCCUCCGCCAUCUCCUCCGCGACGACGGAAAGCGGGGAAGCCCGGCAGCGGAAGCAGAAGUCCCUGGGCGGAAGCUUUACUUUUCGCUUUUAGCCGACGCCGGUUUCCUUUGCGGGGUCGGGGGGUUGCGGCUGGUUGCGACGACGAGAGGAACCGCGAAAAGACGCUGAGUUGGCCGAGCACGAGUGACGGUGCGAGCAACGGGCCGUUUGCCGCUGUCGACCGGUGAUGCAGUAUCCUCGGCUUGGUGUCACGAUCGGUUUGUUGCUGUGCACGUUGGCUUUGCUAUGCGGUACGACUGGUGCGGCUGUCGAAUACUUGUGGUGCACAUUAUUGGAGACAGUCGCCCCAAGACGUCGCCGUGAAGAGUUGACCGAGGAAUUCGUGGACUCACUCAACGGAUAGCCUCUGCCGUCUUCAUCAUCGGGUGUCUGCUCCUGUUCGCUCUACACUCUGGUCGGGUCCACCCCAAUUAUGAAGAUGGUGGCGACAUCGUAUUUGUUGAGACGACUGGUCCAAGGAAGAGCCAGCCACGGAACAUCUUCUUUCUGGAGACGAGCGGACGAGGCAACCUGACCGGGAGGAUGUCCUGCGCGGUCGAGUCCGCGGCGUUGCACCACACGGAGUGGACAGUCAGCCUUCUGACCGCAGAAAACUCGGAGAAGCCGGAAAGCCGAAGCCCCUUUUUCGACCUGCUCAGAAGAAUACCCAACGUGAACAUCCGUAGCAUCAAG